GCAGCACCUCUGGGCAGCAGAGCAUCCUGCAAGAACUGCUUCUCUAUUGCCUAGUCUGGGAAGGGCUGGCCACCAGCUCCCUAUGGAGGACUAAUUCAGUGUGGAAAGAAGUCUCAUCAGCAUCAAUCAUGUGCAACUAUCAGGAAGCAAAAGCCCUACAGGACUAUCUCCCAUGAUGUGGCUAUGGAGGGCCAAGACAAUAGUAAUUUUUCAAUUUUAUAACAAUAUACACAAAAUAUUUAACACU